rnacentral:rRNA from 1 species
UAGGGAAUCUUCCGCAAUGGGCGAAAGCCUGACGGAGCAACGCCGCGUGAGUGAUGAAGGUCUUCGGAUCGUAAAACUCUGUUAUUAGGGAAGAACAACUGUGUAAGUAACUAUGCACGUCUUGACGGUACCUAAUCAGAAAGCCACGGCUAACUACGUGCCAGCAGCCGCGGUAAUACGUAGGUGGCAAGCGUUAUCCGGAAUUAUUGGGCGUAAAGCGCGCGUAGGCGGGUUUUUAAGUCUGAUGUGAAAGCCCACGGCUCAACCGUGGAGGGUCAUUGGAAACUGGAAAACUUGAGUGCAGAAGAGGAAAGUGGAAUUCCAUGUGUAGCGGUGAAAUGCGCAGAGAUAUGGAGGAACACCAGUGGCGAAGGCGACUUUCUGGUCUGUAACUGACGCUGAUGUGCGAAAGCGUGGGGAUCAAACAGG